UACGGAGGGUGCAAGCGUUAAUCGGAAUCACUGGGCGUAAAGCGCGCGUAGGUGGCUAUUUAAGUCAGAUGUGAAAGCCCUGGGCUCAACCUGGGAAUGGCAUUUGAUACUGGAUAGCUAGAGUAUGGUAGAGGUGAGUGGAAUUCCUAGUGUAGAGGUGAAAUUCGUAGAUAUUAGGAAGAACACCAGUGGCGAAGGCGGCUCACUGGUCCGGUACUGACGCUGAGGUGCGAAAGCGUGGGGAGCAAACAGG
rnacentral:rRNA from 1 species